rnacentral:rRNA from 1 species
UACGUAGGGUGCAAGCGUUGUCCGGAUUUAUUGGGCGUAAAGAGCUCGUAGGCGGUUUGUCGCGUCGGAUGUGAAAACCCAGGGCUCAACCCUGGGCCUGCAUUCGAUACGGGCAGACUAGAGUAUGGCAGGGGAGACUGGAAUUCCUGGUGUAGCGGUGAAAUGCGCAGAUAUCAGGAGGAACACCGGUGGCGAAGGCGGGUCUCUGGGCCGAUACUGACACUGAGGAGCGAAAGCGUGGGGAGCGAACAGG